rnacentral:rRNA from 1 species
GGCGGACGGGUGAGUAACGCGUGAGAAUCUAGCUCUAGGUCGGGGACAACCACUGGAAACGGUGGCUAAUACCGGAUGAGCCGAAAGGUGAAAGGCUAGCUGCCUAGAGAUGAGGCUCGCGUCUGAUUAGCUAGUUGGUGUGGUAAGAGCGCACCAAGGCGACGAUCAGUAGCUGGUCUGAGAGGAUGAUCAGCCACACUGGGACUGAAACACGGCCCAAACUCCUACGGGAGGCAGCAGUGGGGAAUUUUCCGCAAUGGGCGAAAGCCUGACGGAGCAAUACCGCGUGAGGGAAGAAGGCUCUUGGGUUGUAAACCUCUUUUCUCAAGGAAUAAGAUCUGAAGGUACUUGAGGAAUAAGCAUCGGCUAACUCCGUGCCAGCAGCCGCGGUAAUACGGAGGAUGCAAGCGUUAUCCGGAAUGAUUGGGCGUAAAGGGUCCGCAGGUGGCAUUGUGUGUCUGCUGUUAAAGAGUCUAGCUCAACUAGAUAAAAGCAGUGGAAACUACAAAGCUAGAGUGCGUUCGGGGUAGCAGGAAUUCCUGGUGUAGCGGUGAAAUGCGUAGAGAUCAGGAAGAACACCGGUGGCGAAAGCGUGCUACUAGGCCGUAACUGACACUGAGGGACGAAAGCUAGGGGAGCGAAUGGGAUUAGAUACCCCAGUAGUCCUAGCCGUAAACGAUGGAUACUAGGCGUGGCUUGUAUCGACCCGAGCCGUGCCGGAGCUAACGCGUUAAGUAUCCCGCCUGGGGAGUACGCACGCAAGUGUGAAACUCAAAGGAAUUGACGGGGGCCCGCACAAGCGGUGGAGUAUGUGGUUUAAUUCAAUGCAACGCGAAAACCUUACCAAGAUUGACAUGUCGCGAACGUCUUCUGAAGGAGAAAGUGUCUUAUGGAUCGCGUACACAGGUGGUGCGUGGCUGGUCGUCACUCGUGUCGUGAGAAGUU